UUCGACUGGUUUGGCAUGUGGGCAUCAUCAUCGGGAUGGAAGAAAGAAUUUUUGAAAGACUGAUUUAUUAAUUUACUCAUAGAAGACUAUAUCACAUUGUCAAACUUGGUUUGAUAGAUCAUAAUCUCAUUUGGAGAAAGCUGAAAACGAGAUUAGCACAAACUUUAAAUAAUGUUUUUAUCACUUUAAAUAAUGUUCACAUUAACUAUUAUGUUUGUUUAUACGUGAAUGUGACAAACAUAGAAUGAACUAACGUUAAACAAUUACUAAUUAGGUCUAGUCGAAUAUUCCAUAUGAAUAUAACAUUAGUAUAUUACGAGAAGUAGACCAAGAAAAGCAUUGGUUGCUUUUAUUCUUCAUGUUUUGAUAUCGUCCUAAAGUUAGCAUCAAGAGCUGUUUAGGCUUUUAGUAACUGCGAAAGGUCGCAUAAAAACCUGCUUUGAUUAGCUUAACCCAUCCCUGACCUAUUAAUAAUCAUAUCUUGAGGAAACCCUAAUCAGAAUCCUGUACUUUUUGAUCUAUCAUCAAAAUAUUGAAUUUAUUAAUAUAUACACAUAUCUAUAGAAUCUUAGAUAUUGUUAAAAUAUUAAGAUUUGAAAUAGAUCGAACCGUCAUAUCGAAAACGUCAAUAGCUCUUCUCUAGAUUCAAGUUCCCCAUGGUUUUCCUAUUAAAAUUUGACAUCAUAUUUUCAUCUAAUUUUCCAACCAAUCCACGACACUUAAUUUUAUUUUUAAUAUAUUCAUUGUAACAUUCAACUGUAAAAAAAAUAUUUAAGAUUUCAUCAAAUUGAUGCAAAAUAAAAUAAUAUUAAUAUAGAGCCAUAUAUUUGAGCUUUGUCGUAAGCUUAGCAACUAUUCCACAUUUCUAAUUAUAAAAGUGUUUAAAGUGUAUAAAUUCAUUUCAUGAUUAAAUCUUGAUUUUGAGUUAAGCUUUACGUAGUAGUUACAAAACUGUAGUAUCUAAACUAUACUAAAAGCAGAAUACUAAGCCCUCUAAGGGUGUACAUGUCGGAUUGAAAAAUUAGCCAUUCAUAGAGCAGCAUUCAUCCAUGUCAUUUUGAUUAAUUUUGGAUACGUGUUCUCUUCUUUCUUCUAUAUUACCGGCGACUUAUCACUUCUUCUUCUUCCACCACAUAUUUGUAACCGUCGAAUUAACUACAGCUCUUAACUCCUCUGCAAUUAAAUAUCGAAUACUUCCUCAUCCUUUCAGCUUCCAUAUUUAGGAACACGUUGGCAAGUCUCUGUUCAUCUUUUUCUAUUAUUGCAAUCUUCUAUUACAGCUGGAGAGGGCAAUGGAGAGGCGGAGAAGCUAGCUUGGGUUCGUUGAGAAGCAAAAAAACUUCCCGGGUAGUAAUAGAGAGAGCACCAGUUGUGGAUCCAGUUCGUUGAACUUUAUAAAUUUGCUAAGCGAUCAUUCAUGGGCAUGAUGAAAAAGUAUUCGACUUCUGCUCACUCACAUGCUUCCUCCUGUGCUGAUUGAGAAAGAUGGUACUCAGAGAAGUUCGUGAAAGGACAAUGAGAUAAAGAAGACUGUGUUCCUGAGUGAAAAACGUAAAUAGAAUGUCUCUUGGAAAGUUUAGAUCGAAAACUUCUUACGCCUAUUUUGGAGUUUUCUGACAUGAUGGUUGCCCUUCUGAUGUAAGCCACUUUGGGAUUUCUGCGUUUGCAAUCUGGUGAGUCAACAUCUGAUCUUAUCAUGUUAUUUCAAACAUGGAAGCGGGUAGAUUGGGCUCCAACCAUCGGUUAGAAGGCUUUUUCCCGGAUUACUCCAGCAGUUCAAUAAUAGCUGAUGUUAUCAUAUGCGAAAAUAUGUUUGGGGUGCUGACUUCUUCUUCUUCAUCAGCUGGUACUCCCCUUCGUUUCUUUGUUUAUGACAAGUAUUUAAAAGGACUAAAAAGGUAAAUAUACCUUUAUAUUUGAAAUCUGAAUUGGAAACAUUCUUCAGUCAAAAGUUAAUUGAAAUCUGAAUUUUCCAGAAUCCUGGAACACUUUCUAAAGCAAUAAAAAUUGAACACACUGUGCUUACACUUUCUGGCUCAGGAACUCUAGAGUGGUGACAACAUUACAAAAAUACUUUCAAAGUAUUUGGACCAUUGGGAUCAUCACACUUCACAGCAGAGGGGCGUUCAAGGAACCAUCUAUUGAAUAUUCUGUCAAAAAAUAGUAACACCACGUUAUUCACUAAUGAUAUAUUGUUCGUACACUCUUACAAACAAUGAUGUUAACGUAGGGUAAGUUCGAGUUUAGCCCCAUCUAUUGUGUGCCACCAGAUAAGGCUCUAUGUAAAAGAGGUUUUCAUUUCAGAUUAUUUAGACCGGGAGGUGGUGAGAGAUUUCUCUUUGGUGUGGCCUUUCAAGAAAUCUGUAUUUCUUUUUUAUUGAUAUCCAUUUUAAUGCAAAGCCUUCAACAUAUA